UACGUAGGUGGCAAGCGUUGUCCGGAUUUACUGGGCGUAAAGAGCGCGCAGGCGGUCAGAUAAGUCGAAUGUGAAAGCCCCCGGCUCAACUGGGGAGGGUCAUUCGAUACUGUUCGACUCGAAGGCAGGAGAGGGAAGCGGAAUUCCCGGUGUAGUGGUGAAAUGCGUAGAUAUCGGGAGGAACACCAGUGGCGAAGGCGGCGAUCUGGGUCGAUACUGACGCUGAGGUGCGAAAGCGUGGGGAGCAAACAGG
rnacentral:rRNA from 1 species